AAGAGAGGAUGAUCUAAG
rnacentral:snRNA from 1 species